GUGCUUCCUUUGGUAACAUAUAUACUAAAGUGGAGUGAUACAAAGUAGAUUAGUAUGGCCCCAGUACAAAGAGAAUACAUGUAUUCCUGGCUAUGAAGUCGAUAUGU
rnacentral:snRNA from 1 species